AAAGUUUACGUAGCGUUGGUUGUUUUUAAAUCCUUCCAUCUGUCACACAGAGACCAUGACAUGAACGAAGAGCCUCCAACUACGAUCAAUGACACUCACGAGACUGAAGCCCUUUCAGUUGAACAAGACAAUCAUGAGCUCAGAAAGCGGUUGUCUCCUCAGAAAAGUCAAGAACCCAACAUAAUACCAUCACCUUUACCAGCAAGAAGACUUUUUGUUGACCAGUGUUGACUCCUCAGUGACAGAAAGGAGCAACAAGUCAAACCUGAUCAGAACUACAUCAAAGCUUGACGCA